AUGCUGCUGGUCUGCUGCAGAUGCGGCUGCCACGAACGGUGGUCCGCUGCAGACGGUUGUGCGGUGCUGCUACCACGCCUCGACGGUGAUGCUGCUUUGCAGCGCUUGGUUCGCUGCAGUCCGGCGGUAGCGGGUGUUCCGUUGCAGACGUGGCUGCCGCAAAUCGCCGACGGCCCGCAACGGUGGCGCCGCUGCAAAUGGCGCGGGACUGGAAACCGGAGCCCCGCUCCUGCGAGCGCGAGCGCUGUUGCUUGCCCGUAUCCGGCCACCGGCGGAGCCCAUCUGCCACUACCACGCCAACCCAGCUUUGUUUGGCUUCUUCACGAAUCAACGGUGACCUGUCUUGCCUUAUCGGAGACAUGGCCUCGACGAGCUGCUCGUUCGGAUCGAGCAUGGCAAGCCAUGGUGUAUGGCCUGAGGUCGCCCAACACUAACUGA
rnacentral:rRNA from 1 species